rfam:Streptococcus infantis SK1302 contig44, whole genome shotgun sequence.
ACUAUCGUUAUGUAGCGUGGAGAGGAAUGAAUAGCUAAAUUGUGGCUCUACGAACAGAAACGUGAUAGUAAGGUGUGUAUAGUGGAUGAGGUGGUACAAAUUCUAAAGUAGAAAUAAGUAGUUAUAACCUGUAUGCUUAAAUUAUGAGAGAAAUUGAAUUCGGACUAACUUU